UACGUAGGGUGCAAGCGUUAAUCGGAAUUACUGGGCGUAAAGCGUGCGCAGGCGGCUUUGCAAGACAGAUGUGAAAUGCCCCGGCUCACCCGGGGACCGGCAUUUCAUACUGCUCGGCUCGAGUACGGGAGAGGAUGGAGGGAAUUCCUGGUGUAGCGGUGAAAUGCGUAGAUAUCAGGAGGAACACCGGUGGCGAAAGCGCUCAUCUGGCCCGAUACUGACGUGAAGCACGAAAGCGUGGGUAGCAAACAGG
rnacentral:rRNA from 1 species